rnacentral:rRNA from 1 species
GACGAACGCUGGCGGCGUGCCUAAUACAUGCAAGUCGAGCGAAUCAAUAGGAGCUUGCUCCUGUUGGUUAGCGGCGGACGGGUGAGUAACACGUGGGCAACCUGCCUGUAAGACUGGGAUAACACCGGGAAACCGGUGCUAAUACCGGAUAAUCCUUUUCCUCUCAUGAGGAACAGCUGAAAGUCGGUUUCGGCUGACACUUACAGAUGGGCCCGCGGCGCAUUAGCUAGUUGGUGAGGUAACGGCUCAUCAAGGCGACGAUGCGUAGCCGACCUGAGAGGGUGAGCGGCCACACUGGGACUGAGACACGGCCCAGACUCCUACGGGAGGCAGCAGUAGGGAAUCUUCCACAAGGGACGAAGGUCUGAUGGAGCAACGCCGCGUGAGCGAUGAAGGCCUUCGGGUCGUAAAGUUCUGUUGUUAGGGAAGAACAAGUAUCGGAGUAACUGCCGGUACCUUGACGGUACCUGACCAGAAAGCCACGGCUAACUACGUGCCAGCAGCCGCCGUAAGAC